AGCCGGGGUCUUGUUUACACCUCUGCCAACGCCAUCCCCCCCGCCGGCCGUGACGGGAAAACUUGUGACUCCACCGCGGCUCCGGGGAUCUGGUCUGAGGAACGUCUGAGAACCAAGGAGUUCUCCACCUCGGGAAGUUCAACCAGUCUGGAAGCAGAAGGUUCCUCAGGCAGGUUUGUUCAGAGAGAAGAUGUCUUUGAAGAGACGCCUGCUGUCCAUGUUGUUGUGCUGUGUUUACUGUGUGGCCUCGCUCUUCUGCCUCCAGCCCAACCGCAACAACUGCUUCUCUGCCGGAGCUCGGAAUCUGGCGUCCGUCGUCCAGCAGCUCUACCAGCGCGUCAUCCGCCUGCUCCGCACCACUCUGUGAUCCACAGCGCUUCCUGAACCCUGAACGCGUCCUGAGGUCAUGGCGGCUGUCGUCAAGCAUGUCCCCCUGUAGUGCACUGCCAAUUAGAGAAGAAAGAGAAGAAAGAGAAGAAAGAGAAGAAAGAGGAGAAAGAGGGGAGAAGAAUGGUGUCACUCCACCUGGGGACCUACUCGUUAUUCUCUGAAGUGCAAGAACCAUCUGCCCCGAUCGACUGCAUUCCCCCGACUCUGAGGAGAAUCUAAAAAUGUCUAUUUCUUCUGCAGAUGAAUGUUCACAUUACGGAUCUUUGCAGUGUGAAGUGGAGAGGAACCCUUCAGGCCUGUUUUAGAUGUAGGUUUUCAUGUUCUGUGGGUGGCAGUCGGACCUGAGGUGUAGGCAGGAUGUUCACAGGAUAGGCAGAGCAGGCAAUUACAUACUUAAUUUUAGAGGUUUGGCUUGAAGGGUUGAUCUGUAUAUGUCGACAUAGCCCCCCCCCCACACGUCUUCUGAAAGGCCCCUGGGUGUGAGAGGGACUGUUAUAAAGAGUGAAGCAUAAAAACAAACAAAUCCGAGAUGAAACCAUUGACUGUAAAUAAAGAUGCGACUCAGCCAUCUUGUUCCGAUUACAUGGAGCCAAAGUCUGUGCACUAGCAAACAUACAUCAGUGUGAUCAGAAUUAUGGAGGGGACAGGGUUUAUGACAUGUGACAGGGGAGGCGGGGAUCAAAUCCCCAACCUUCUGGUUUGUGGAUGACCCGCUCUACUUCCUGAGCCUCAGCCGCUCGAUUAAGAGUCUUUGGCUUCACUUUUGUGAAUCCGUUGUGUCGUCUUAAUUCAUACACAGUCUGUGGGUUAAACCAAGAAGCAUAAAUUAAUUUUAAAGAAAAAGAUCCAAGAACAAAUCGGAUCAGAGAAGGGAUCUGUUGAAAGGCUUGAUCGGUCUGAAAUGUUCGAGACAGCGAGCAGAUGCUUUACCAAUUAAGUGUCAUUUGCAUCAGUCAAACCUGAGAGGCAAGAACAAAACUAUUUGUUCACUUCCUACAGAGAAGGUUUCUGUUGCAAGAGCAGAUUUUAUUUGAGUUGGAAGGCUUGAGUGAAGUGAAUGGAGGUUAGAACUCAGUGUUCCUGCGUCAAGAGGAAGAAUCCUGUGGUAAAUGGGCUGUGAACCUUUGUCCAUUGAGGUGAAACGACUGAUGACUUAUCCUGACGUACAGCAGCUGAGUCUGGACAUUUAUUUAUUAACUCUAACUCGGUUAUUUGAUUUACCUCCGCUGUCGACGUGUACGUGCAAAUAAAAAAAUAAUAAACUAUAAAACUUUACAAUAAAUCUGAGUUGUUCAAUUACAUAUUUUGAGACAUGAAGAUGUAACAAAUAGAAGUCACUUCAAGCUUUUAUUCUGAAACCCCAGCUGUGUUUCCAUGGUUACGGGUGUGCCCAGCCCUGUGUCCUUUACAAGAGUGUGGUGCGUUCAGGGUGUGUGGGAAUAAAUCCUUCACAUGAACUCAACGCGUGUGAAGGACAAU